CGCUGGUGAAGGUUGUCGGUGGUGUUCCUUUGUAUUGUGUGGUGUGAAAAUUCGCAUGAAAGUGGCAAAUUUCUUCUAACGUGUUUCGAAAGUGCGCGCUGUAUCGGUAUGUGGAUUCAAAGCAUCUCCCCGGCGUGUCUCCCGGAGGGGAAUUUGCCACUGGAGGGGGAGGGGCACAGCAUUUGAGUUUUAAUUUGAUACCAAAAUAAGGAAAAACUUCUGGAUGGAUGAAACUAUCGCCAUCAUCUGCGCUUUAGCACUCAGGUGGUGUCUUCGGCUACUUAUUAGAACCAUGAAGUCGUCCGUAAUCGUUAAAGUCAUCGAUUGGGUAUGAUUAAUGUAAAGCAGAUCAUCAUUAGAGGACUUGGAGACAGAGAGAGUGGAAGGCAUUUGUGGCACAAUUGUGCGCAGCCAGUCACGGAUUUGCUACAUCGACGACAAGAAGACAAAUGCCACUACGGAACAGUAAUUAAGUGCAAGUAGCGCGCCUCUCAAGGAGCAAAAGAGAUCCCCCUCCAAACAAUAGCAACAUUUAUCGACCAUUGGUGGCGACGGUGGCGACGGACCAUCGGUUGGCAAAAAAACUGGACCAUCAAAUAAAACGACAAAAAAAAACGUAAAGCUGCUCCCCCUUAGUCCAAACCGAAAGUUGAAGAAAACAAUUGAAGAAAGACGGGCAAGGGUGCAAACAUGAUGUGUGUCCCCUUUUCGUGUUUUGUUCUUAAAGAACUGAAGUGGAACUUUUGAGCCUCCGUUUUUAGUUCCCACACAUACUCACAAAUACACGGUGUUUUGGUUUCGCUGUCACUGCCAAGAGAGAAAACUAUCGACGGAGUAAAAUGCUGUGCAAAAAAAAAACACUUUCGUCGUAAGAGCUUGUGGUGCCGCACCCUGUCAAGGGAAAUCAAUAUUAAAAUCAAUAUACGUUUAUAACGAGUCGCUUUGACCGUCUCAAAAUAAGGAGAAAGGGUAGGGGGAGGGGUACCCCCAAGUCUUCCCACAACAGCCAAAUUGAGGAAGUCCUGGUGGACGGUUCUCUGAGGUUUCGUCUGGCUGAAAACAUUGGUCGAGCGUGAACAAAAGCGGGAAUCAGACGCUCUCCUGCCCUUUUUUUAAAUUACGAGCCUACGGGCGGGACGGCCGCGUGUCUUGGAAGACGGUUUUUUCUCGUUGUACUUUUUUGUUAGCGCUGUUGGUGUGUUGGGAUUGUUCACGACGAUUUGUUCCCACCGAAUCUCCCCAUAAGAGCCUGGGCAUCAUUGCUGAUCAGUGAGGAAGGAAAGCAAAGUUCGUCCCGUGGACCGACGGUCCCGUAAACCACUCCCCUUCGGUUGCGCUUGUUGCGCGCUCUUCGGGUGUGCGGUGCCAUAUGCUGUCCCUCUUUAUUUGCCGGGAAGUGGAAGCGAGAGCCGCAGCAACACAAUCUCUCUGGUGUGUACCCCGUCGGUCCGGGGUCUGGCAGCAACGCUGCAACUCGAUCCGUUUGUCGCUUGGACGCAACAAGUUACCAGCCGGUACAGCAUCUGCAACAGCGCCGAAUGUCGCACGCAGGCGGAGAACUGCGCAUGAUACACGUAUAAAAGCGGCUCGCCCGAGUGUGUCAGAACUUUAGUUUCUUCGGAACCGUCCACAUCUAGACUUCUAGAGCUUGAGCUCUCGUGCACGGUUUCGAAGCACUUUUGAGUUGUUGUGGAAAGAAUCAGCUGUAAAACAUCUCGUGUGUGUGUGUGCGUGCGUGCGGUGUGUGCUAGUGAAGCUGAUAGCCGUUAAACGACCCAACUCGUCGGGUGCAAAGGAUAUAAAAAAAAACAUUCUAGCGGGUGUCACGCAUUUGUUUGCGAGUCGAGUCAUUCGCUGUAAAUCAGGCUAAGCGAGCAUGGCGGUCAAAUACGAUGCGGAUGCGGACAAGGAAGGCGUCGCCGGUGGGUCGAAAGCACCACCAUCCUCACCAAUACACGACGACAAUCAAACAGAUCCAACCUUUCAAGCCCUACCACCCAUGAUGGAGGAGCAGUACGUUUACUACCCGGAGGACGUGUUUGUGAUGAUACAGGUCGUACGCAUCAGAUGGUUGCUGCGCCUGAUUAUCACCCAUCUGGUAUCUCAAGUGCUGAUAUCUUACAUGGAUUAUUCACCCCAGGGACAGUAUAUGUGCCAAACCGUAAUGUUGGUGUUGAUGUACUAUUAUGGCAUUUAAAUGGUAACACCGAUGCUGAAGCAGAAGAUGAGGAGUAGAAGAAGGAGGGACCAUAUGAUGUCAUCGAUUCGCCCAGCGGCAGCCAGCAGCAGCUCAGCUUCUUUUCUGUUAGUAUGGACUCGGAUCGGAGGACACGUUUUCGAGUUCUUGGACGAUACCAAACACCACCGCAGUCAUCCUGUCGUUAGCCACAUCAACCAUUUCACCUAGCAGUAGCGUACUUGAGAUUCUGUAGUGGUUUUUGCUACAGUGUGUCAUUUCCUUACCAUCCUACAACAUCCUUACGUAAGCGUGUUAGGGAUGGGAAAACAAACUUAGAUGUAACCGCUCAAAGUUUGCAGCGAUAGACCAACUGCGCGAUGGUUUAUCGCUCCACACUUUGUUUUGUUUUUCUUUUACUUCUUCUUAUUAAUCUUAAUGGGUUCAGUUUUAUAUAGUAUUAAAAUGAAUCCACCUGUACAUAUAGGUUCGACCAGCAUCACUCUCCAUCCAAUUGCGACAUGCAAUCGAUACGGUGCCUUUUUGCCCACUGUCCAACCCCAAAACGCCGGCUGAAUGCGUUUGAAUGGACUUUAAACGCAUUUCACGCCAUCUUGUAAAUAUUUCGACACGAGGCAAAGAGGUAACCCCCCACUAGGAAUCGGCUUGCACUGACAAGAAGAUGAAUAAGCUAGUUUAAUCGGAAUAGUAUCUAAGUUUAGGAAAUAAGGAAUAAUAAUACCUAAGUUUAGGAGAUGAGGGAUUUACCCUUUAGGAGGGUAAAGGCGUGUGUUGGUUGGUGUUAAGCCAGCGCUAAUAGUUCGUUUGAUCUGAACUGUUAUUUGUAUAAAGUCCAGUUCAACUACCAAACCAAGGGCCGGGGUAUCUGUAAUGUACAAACAUGGUUUAGAUGUUUGUUUGUUCCUUCGCAUUGUUGCGAAAGACAAGCAAAACUCGAACCAUUUUAGGCGAUAAGGUUUUCUGUUGAAGUAAAAAUUAAGAUAAGUCUCACUUCAGAUUUGUUUAGCUGCACUGAGGUGUAAAUGCGCAGCUGUACCUGUAUGAAGGCUUCAGGGUUCGUUCUUAUUUGCAGACUGUCCAUAAUAUAAUGUACAAACAUUUUGUACGACAUGUAAAUAUCGGACACGAAGCAAAUAAGUAACAAAAUUAGUUUUGUAAGAUCCGAGUUAUUUGGGAAGAGAUUUAUAGCAUAAAAAAUAACAAUAAUAAUAAUAAUAGUAAGGAAAGUAAGAUGAGAAGAUAAAAAGAACUAAGUAGACAUAAGACGUGGAAGAAUGCGAAGAAAAAUGGUAUAAGGUAAGGUUGGGAGAUAUAAAUAUGAUUAUAUCUCUUAGCUUUACCUUGUAGACUAUAUAUAUGUAUAUAUAUAAAUGUAUACAUAUACAUUUAUAUAUAUACAGACAUUUCAACAUUUCUAUCAGAUUCAGGGAAAUGAUCCACUGUUAGUAAGGAAACACGUGCGCAGGAGCUCUUGUAGGUAGUGCUAGUAGGUGCAAUGUUUGAUGAGGCCGGCAAUCAGGCAAACAAGGACUAUAAAAUUGUUCUAGAUUUAGAAAAAGGACUACGAAUAUUGUCUACUUAUUUAUUCAUCAAAGCAUUCUCAUACUCUUGCAAUGUGUGUCCAACAAAAAAAGAGGUAGAGAGCGAUAGUGAUCGCACCACUUGUUGCCAGUUCGGAAUGGAACUCACGGCGGCUGCUCUAAUCGAAGGUGCUCGUACAAUCGGGCUGUGAAUAAUCCCUGUUAGUGUUGUUGUUUAUAACAUUGUUAUCAUCACACGUGUCUACAUAUACUUCCUGCAGGAGUAUUUUCUCGCUUCCUAGCCACAUGCCAAUAAAUGGUGCGCACCACUUCGCUGCUAAAUGUUAGAAAGAAAACCAUCACUAUUAUUAGCAUCGGCUUUAUCAGCUGAGUGCAACUACUAACCAGCCGUGUAUUAGACAACAACAUAAAGACUUGCAAAUAGCCUUGAAAAGAUACUAAUAACCAUCGUAUAUAUGUAAUCAAUCGCGUGCAGUAGUGGAAACGUUUCCUCCUACUUUCGGAAAUAAAUAAUCAUAUGUGUGUGUUGCACUUGCUUUCUGUGUCUACAUAC